rnacentral:lncRNA from 1 species
UCCAAUACUCUGGCUUGAGUUAUUAUAAUGUUAGCUUUUUUCAUGUUGGGUUAGCUGAAUUAUUGUACAAAAAAACAACUAAAGAGGCAGCAAAGAUUGAAUGAGAAUUGAAAGAUUAAACGUGAAAUAAUUGGACUAGAGGAUUGGGAUUUUACCGUGAUUCUCUUCCAAAAUUAAUAGCUUUUUCUAUCACGCACGGUAACUUUAAAUUGUCAUAUUUUAUUAAUUAAUAAUUACUGCUAGAAUUUUGUAAAAUUUCCUUAAUCUAGCAUAAUUAUGUAGGCUUUGAUGCAUGUUCGAUGCUUUAUUUUAUUUAAUAUAAGUGGUAGAAGAAAGUUUGGUCGAAAUUUUGAGAAAUUUUUGUAUAAAGAUUUGGUUCAAUUAUAUUAUUCUAAUAUCUCGAUUAGCACGUUAUUAUCAGUUAUAUGAAUAUGUAUGUUUCGGACAAUUAGGCUUUGAGGAGUUUUUUACUUUACGAAAUUUUUGUAUCAAAAUUAGGUUUAAUCGCAUUGAUAUCUCGAUUAUUAUAGUAUUUUAUUGUAAUUUCUACUCUAUUGUUGCCUUCAAUUUACCUAUAGUUCCAUAUGUGUAGCUUUUCUUUCAUUCCCUCUAUAUCUUAAUUUCAAGAAAAGUAAAAAUUAAUUUUAUUUGAUUUUGUAGGAAUAAAUUGCUCUUUCUCAUGACAUCCACAACUAGCUCGAAACUCAUUGUAAGCUUCUAAGCUUCAGAUUUCAAAGAUAUAUUGAUUUCUCUUUCUUCUAUUCUUUUCACUUGAAUUCUUUGACUCUCUAUAUCCCUUAGGUUUCCAAUUUCAGGUCUUUGUUUAGUAUCUUUCAUUAUAACUAAUUGUUGUAACUAAUGAUUUGUACGAAGUUUUAGUCACGUGUUAGUCUUUUUUCAAAAAAAAAAAUUAGGAUUCAUUGGGCUUACCUCUAAAAUGACUCAAAUUAAUAUGCUAUUGAAAUUUUGCCCUAUGAUAUGCUCCAUGUGUUAAACAUACAGUGUUCAAGGAGCUUAGAUAUAUUGUAAAAUAGACCAUAAUAUUAAGAAGUACCAAGUACGUAUUUAUGUUAUUAGAUGCUAUGUUAAGUUGUAUAAAUUUAAUUUUUCAGAUGCUUAAAAAAAAAAAAAAGAAGUACCCUUCUAAGCAUGUUUCGUAACGAGAGUGUUGGGCCCGUGCAAAAAGUUUUUUUCUUAUUUUGGAUUUGGUGUGAAUUGAACUUAUUGUGUUACUCUGUGAAUCUGCAAAAUGGUCGUUAUUAUAUAAAGGUUGUCGAAGCGACGGCAUUGAAGGACUGAGAGUGCUUGUUGGUCGUCAUUGAUGGAUUUGUCUUUGAGAACCAUUUAGAUUUAUAAAAGUCAAUUCAGGUUUAGAAAAAAUUUGUAGUUCAAGUUUUUUUUUUUUUUUUUUUUAAAAAAAUUCUACCUAUCUUUUUCAUCGUAGUUUUUUUAGGGGGUAGGGGGUGGAUUUCUUCAGUGCUUUUUGGGUUAUAAUAGAGGAAUCCUCAAAACAAAUAAUAAGGAGUUCAUAAUCAAUUUCUUUUUUAUUUAUGAUUCCUGCUUUUUUUUUAUACUAUCUAGCUUUUAUGUGCAAUUUAGUUCUAAUAUUAUUGCUGUAGUAUUUUUAUUUCAAGAAAUUUAUGAUUUUUUAUAUAUAUAUGAAUUAGAAAUGAGGUUAUGAAAAUUAAAUAUUACGAUAGAAAAUUGAUAGAUAAUUGAGCUUUGAUUCUAGAAGCACCAUAUCUGGUCGUGGUCGCUUCUUUUACAAAUAUUCUCUUAUAGAAUUUAAUUAAAUUUGUAACAUUUUCUUGCUCUCAUUAAUUUACAUGUACAAUAAACUUUGAGGAUAUAAUUUGCUAUCCUAGGACUUUAGUUUUAUGUUUGGCCACAAUGUAGUGUUUAGAGAAUGGAGAUUCCUAGGACUCUAUCUAAGUUUUAUGUGAUGCAACUCAGAGAUCAUAAUUAUUGGGGAUGGAAGUAGGAUUGGCAUUAAAAAAAGUUCCUUGAGGAGAAGGCUAUGUAAUAUGCUAUACUGCUAUGUUGAUGAGCUAAGGAAAGGUUUUGCUAAAGGAAGGCUUCUUUCCAUAGAUUAGCUAAUUGACAUGUUGUUGUGUUCACUAUUGUAUUUGCUUUUUGUAACAUUUUCUUAACACAGGCCAUUCAACAUUGAUAUCUUAAUUAUAGUGAUUUUUUUGGAGCAUAACAAGGAAUAGGUUUAUUAUUUGAGAUUCUCAUAAAUUCGUCAUCACAUUAUUGUUAGGUUUUUCAAGCACAGUAAUUUUUUCAGUUUCAUUCAUCAGCUUAAAACAUAUGUAGGUAUCUUUUUACUUCUAACUCAUAUCUAAUUUUUGCAUCACUUUCUUGAUUUUGAAUAUAUUCUAUGUGUUAGCUUCAAUUUUUAAUUAGUUAGCGUUUAUAAAUAUUUCAAUUUAGAACUUUAUUAUAUAUACAUUAUAUUAAUGAUGAUGAAAGGGAGCCUUGAAGUAACUAGUAAAGUUGCUUCCAUGUGAUCAGGACGUCACGGGUUCAAGCCUUGAAAACAGCCUCUGGCAGAAAUGCAAGAUAAGACUGCGUACAAUACACCCUUGUGGUGGGGCCUUCCCCGGACCCUGCGCAUAGCAGGAGCUUUAGUGCAUCGGGUUGCUCUUUUUAUAUUAAUGGUGAUGUCUAGAUGGUGAUCAAUUUUGUGGGAAGUCUGAAUAGCUCAUUUGUGUUUCAAGAAGAUGUGUCUUGCUGAAUUGAGAUCUUUUGUAUAGAUCUUAGA